rnacentral:rRNA from 1 species
UACAGGGGGUGCAAACGUUGCUCGGAAUCAUUGGGCGUAAAGCGCACGUAGGCGGUUCGUUAUGUCGGAUGUGAAAGCCCUUGGCUUAACCGAGGAAGUGCAUCCGAAACUGGCGAGCUAGAGUACUAAAGAGGAUCGCGGAAUUCCCGGCGUAGAGGUGAAAUUCGUAGAUAUCGGGAGGAACACCGGUGGCGAAGGCGGCGAUCUGGGUAGAUACUGACGCUGAGGUGCGAAAGCGUGGGGAGCAAACAGG